UACGGAGGGUGCAAGCGUUAUCCGGAUUCACUGGGUUUAAAGGGUGCGUAGGUGGGCAAGUAAGUCAGUGGUGAAAUCUCCGGGCUUAACCCGGAAACUGCCAUUGAUACUAUUUGUCUUGAAUACUGUGGAGGUCAGCGGAAUAUGUCAUGUAGCGGUGAAAUGCUUAGAUAUGACAUAGAACACCAAUUGCGAAGGCAGCUGGCUACACAAAUAUUGACACUGAGGCACGAAAGCGUGGGGGAUCAAACAGGA
rnacentral:rRNA from 1 species